AUGAACGCUGGCGGCGUGCCUAAUACAUGCAAGUCGAGCGAACAGACGAGGAGCUUGCUCCUCUGACGUUAGCGGCGGACGGGUGAGCAACACGUGGAUAACCUACCUAUAAGACUGGGAUAACUUCGGGAAACCGGAGCUAAUACCGGAUAACAUGUUGAACCGCAUGGUUCAACAGUGAAAGACGGUCUUGCUGUCACUUAUAGAUGGAUCCGCGCCGCAUUAGCUAGUUGGUAAGGUAACGGCUUACCAAGGCAACGAUACGUAGCCGACCUGAGAGGGUGAUCGGCCACACUGGAACUGAGACACGGUCCAGACUCCUACGGGAGGCAGCAGUAGGGAAUCUUCCGCAAAGGGCGAAAGCCUGACGGAGCAACGCCGCGUGAGUGAAGAAGGUCUUCGGAUCGUAAAACUCUGUUAUUAGGGAAGAACAAAUGUGUAAGUAACUAUGCACGUCUUGACGGUACCUAAUCAGAAAGCCACGGCUAACUACGUG
rnacentral:rRNA from 1 species